GCGGCGGCUACACAUGCAGUCGAGCGGAACGAGUUAUCUGAGCCUUCGGGGGACGAUAACGGCGUCGAGCGGCGGACGGGUGAGUAAUGCCUAGGAAAUUGCCCUGAUGUGGGGGAUAACCAUUGGAAACGAUGGCUAAUACCGCAUAAUGCCUACGGGCCAAAGAGGGGGACCUUCGGGCCUCUCGCGUCAGGAUAUGCCUAGGUGGGAUUAGCUAGUUGGUGAGGUAAGGGCUCACCAAGGCAACGAUCCCUAGCUGGUCUGAGAGGAUGAUCAGCCACACUGGAACUGAGACACGGUCCAGACUCCUACGGGAGGCAGCAGUGGGGAAUAUUGCACAAUGGGCGCAAGCCUGAUGCAGCCAUGCCGCGUGUGUGAAGAAGGCCUUCGGGUUGUAAAGCACUUUCAGUCGUGAGGAAGAUGGUAGUGUUAAUAGCACUAUCAUUUGACGUUAGCGACAGAAGAAGCACCGGCUAACUCCGUGCCAGCAGCCGCGGUAAUACGGAGGGUGCGAGCGUUAAUCGGAAUUACUGGGCGUAAAGCGCAUGCAGGUGGUUUGUUAAGUCAGAUGUGAAAGCCCGGGGCUCAACCUCGGAAUAGCAUUUGAAACUGGCAGACUAGAGUACUGUAGAGGGGGGGUAGAAUUUCAGGUGUAGCGGUGAAAUGCGUAGAGAUCUGAAGGAAUACCGGUGGCGAAGGCGGCCCCCUGGACAGAUACUGACACUCAGAUGCGAAAGCGUGGGGGAGCAAACAGGAUUAGAUACCCUGGUAGUCCACGCCGUAAACGAUGUCU
rnacentral:rRNA from 1 species